rnacentral:tRNA from 1 species
UCCCUGGUAGCUCAGCUGGUAAAGAAUCUGCUAGCAACACAGGAGACCUGGGUUCGAUCCCUUGCCUGGGAA